GCCCAUCGAUCAGACGCGUUACUUACCGGGAGAGACGACCCCUCUGCCGGUCAGCUCACAGCCGCGUGUCCGGAGCUGCUACACGGGCCGGUGUGAUGAGUAGAUGCGGUGGAAGGUGCGGGGACAUGCGGCGGAAUGAAGCGAGGCGGGUGUGGAUGAGUGGAGGGAAGAAGAGGAGGCAGCAGAGAUGGGAGGAGGGAUGAAGAAGAGGAGGAGGAGGAGAAGGAGGAGGUUAAAAACAACAGAGGGCUUCACCACCACAGUACACUCGCUGCUUUGUUCCCUUCAUGGAUUCUCUGGCUUCUAAUUGGCCUGGUGAGCUUUAACAGGAAGUUGAGUGGACAACAUGGUUCUUCCACACAUAUUCAAGUGUUCAUUUUCCAGAGUUCCUGUUGAGGAGGGCCAAGGAGUCAGACCGGUCCAGGAGGAGAAACACCGUGCCCAUCAAGGAGAUGGCACACGCGGUGCACAGGAGACUGAGCUUCUCAUCAAUGAGCUGCUGGAGGUCUUCAUGGUCGCCAAAGACACCAGGAACGUCCCAAUCCUGGACAGGAGAACACGAUGGACAUCUUGAGCACACAGACGACACACAUGUGAUGUAUCCAGGAUCCACGUGAUGUCCCACUCUACACUAGGACAGGCCAGGGGACCAAGGGUGAGGCACCUCUCCCCGUCUAUAGCACUGUGCCCGUGGGUCAUUGUUGCUGGAGGCGUUCCACCUGCACCUCAACAGGUUCAUCCCAGAACCUAGACGUUGGUUGCCACCCGCCAAUAAACUGAACCAAGAAGAAGAAACAUACACACACAUUGUCGUAGGUGUUAUGGAAGUUUUCUGGAAGCUGGUGAAAGGAGAACUCAGCUGAUGUCUCAUGCAGAAGACUUUAAUGUCGACUUGAUGCAUCAAUUGUCAUCCCCAAGUCUGAAGAUGUCUCCCACAGCAUCCCAAUAUAUAUCUUCCUCUACUUUACUGUACAUGAGAAACCUAUGGAACCAAAAUUGUAUGUGUCUUGGACGCCAAAUAAGGGAGAUAUGAACCAAAGCUCCAUCCCUGAAUGCUACUGUGGAGAACCUGGUUCCAAAGUGCACAAGAAGGCAGCAUUCAUAUCUGAGGUAUUUUAACAUAAUUUCUUGAUAGGAAGGAAGUGGAGAUGAGUCCUCCAUCUUUAAAAGCAGUCUAUGACUUAAACAAGCUUAAAAAGUGAUUUAAAAAAAAUCUGAUCUGAUCAAAUUUGUUGUAUUUUAUGAAUGUGGCAAAAUGGCUCAAUUGUGCCCCUUAGGUCCAAACUCAAAAAAAGGCUUUUCGAGCCAUACCUUUUAAUACAACAAGAAAUCCUCCAUUUAGAAUGUAAUGGUCACAUUUUUGUCUUCCUUUUUUUGCCAUUUCCACACAUCAUACUUGACAAACUAUUCUUAUGUUAUUUAUCCGAUCAACUUCAUAUUUUGUCAGUCUAAAAACAUCCGAGGAAUUUGUGGCUUUUCAUAGACUUAGACUACUUCAGUAGUCUUCAUAACUCUCUGUUGAUGCCCUACAAAAAGCCUUCUGUGUCCCUUGCGGAAGUGCAUUAUGUAGGCUGGCAUUGCAACUCCCAUUUAGCAACCAUUAUUGUUGUGGCAUGUGACCCACUGUAUGUAUUUAGGCCUGGAAGCAGAGAACGCAGCACUGUAAAAUGAAAACCCUUGUUAGUCGCUUAAUAUGUGAUCAAAUCAAUAGCGGUCUGUGAAAUCUAUUAAAAACUGCCAGAACAAGAACAUUAUUAUUUUAUUUUUCAUUAUUGACAUGAUUGUGUGAUGAGUUUAUGACAAUUUCCCCACAUUAUCAUGUAAUGUUAUGUAAUGUCAUUGUACAGGUUUGUUAUUCUAUAUUUACUUUUUUAAAGUUUUUUAAUUUGCUAAAUUCUACCAAAAAGUUUAUACUACUUUUUACAUUCAUCAUAUUACAUAUAAAGUGAAUUUAAAACAAACCAUGGGGGCAUAUUUCACUUAAAUGUUUGUAUAUUUUCUUUAUAUUUAUAAGAUCCAAAUAUAUAUUUAGAUACCAAGUUAAACUAAGGUUUACUGCUCUUUGUUAUUUGCUAUGGUAUUGUAUAGUGUUCUUAUUGUCACAUGCUCCUCACUGCUGAUUUCACUCACACUUGCUUGGUCAGUUGUGUGGCGCUUUUACAUUUACAGACCCCUGCUCUGUCAGGCAAUACUCUUUUUAGAGAUUUCUCCUGUGAGUACAUUAUUAAAUCACAUUGUGCACUACAGUAUAUCCGUAACAAAUCAAUCCCUGACCAAGCCACAUCAAACUUUUAUCUCAACUCCACUUUGUGCAGACAUCAGAAAUCACAAUAUGUCAGGAGCUUCCUUUCUGUGGAGACCUUAUUUAUUCCGUUUUUUCCCUCAUGGAUGUGUGAACGCUGUUGUGCAGAAACAUCUGAGCAUCUGUCACAUACUCGCAUAUUUACAUUUGUGGUG